rnacentral:rRNA from 1 species
AUUGAACGCUGGCGGCAGGCUUAACACAUGCAAGUCGAGCGGAGAGAGGUAGCUUGCUACUGAUCUUAGCGGCGGACGGGUGAGUAAUACUUAGGAAUCUGGCUAUUAGUGGGGGACAACAUUUCGAAAGGGAUGCUAAUACCGCAUACGUCCUACGGGAGAAAGCAGGGGAUCUUCGGACCUUGCGCUAAUAGAUGAGCCUAAGUCGGAUUAGCUAGUUGGUGGGGUAAAGGCCUACCAAGGCGACGAUCUGUAGCGGGUCUGAGAGGAUGAUCCGCCACACUGGGACUGAGACACGGCCCAGACUCCUACGGGAGGCAGCAGUGGGGAAUAUUGGACAAUGGGGGGAACCCUGAUCCAGCCAUGCCGCGUGUGUGAAGAAGGCCUUAUGGUUGUAAA